GACGAGGGAUCCUAGCGUUGUUCGGAAUUAUUGGGCGUAAAGCGGGUGUCGGCGGACUAAUAAGUCAGGUGUGAAAUCCCAGGGCUCAACCCUGGAAGUGCACUUGAUACUGCUAGUCUUGAAUGUGGUAGAGGUUACUGGAAUUCCUGGUGUAGUGGUGAAAUACGUAGAUAUCAGGAGGAACACCGGAGGCGAAGGCGGGUAACUGGGCCAACAUUGACGCUGAGACCCGAAAGCGUGGGGAUCAAACAGG
rnacentral:rRNA from 1 species